rnacentral:rRNA from 1 species
ACUACGGGUGGCUGCAGUGGGGAAUAUUGGACAAUGGGCGAAAGCCUGAUCCAGCCAUGCCGCGUGUGUGAAGAAGGCCUUCGGGUUGUAAAGCACUUUCAGUGGGGAAGAAAGCCUUGGGGCUAAUACCCUCGAGGAAGGACAUCACCCACAGAAGAAGCACCGGCUAACUCCGUGCCAGCAGCCGCGGUAAUAUGGAGGGUGCGAGCGUUAAUCGGAAUUACUGGGCGUAAAGCGCGCGUAGGCGGUCUGAUAAGCCGGUUGUGAAAGCCCCGGGCUCAACCUGGGAACGGCAUCCGGAACUGUCAGGCUAGAGUGCAGGAGAGGAAGGUAGAAUUCCCGGUGUAGCGGUGAAAUGCGUAGAGAUCGGGAGGAAUACCAGUGGCGAAGGCGGCCUUCUGGACUGACACUGACGCUGAGGUGCGAAAGCGUGGGUAGCAAACAGGAUUAGAUACCCUUGUAGUC